AACCGUUGGAAUACGAAAAAAAAAGAAGAAAAAAAGAAGAAAGAAAGAACGUAUGCAGUAGAAUCAUAGUAAUAAUCACUGCGAAAAAUGAAUAAUUGCAGGAGUUGGGCUCUCAAGAAGGUUAACAACUUCUGAGAAAAUUCAAUUAGUUUCUCUAAAGUGGAAUGAUUCAUGUCAGGAGCAAUAGCACAAGGGCAAAUCUCGUUUUAUCAAUAGGUGGGAGAGACUUCUUGGUUGAAAUCACAGCCAUCUCUAAGAGCAUAUGUAUCAAGCGCCUUCCGUCUUCACUUCCUAGUGGGUCGUCAAAAUCUGGACUGCAUAGGGAGAUUGAGAGAUCGGGAGGGGAGAGGGAGAAGUUUCUGGUGGAUCGGCCGCUGCUGGGGAGGAAGCCGACGUCGGAGGGUCACAGACGGCGCAAGCGACACCGAAGAUAGGAUUUUUUCCGGCGUUUUCCCGGAGCCCAAACAGUGGGGAUCCAAUUUUUGGUCUUGUAGGCUCAACAGGUUUUCUCUUUGGAGAAGUGUGCCAACAGGAGGAUUCUAGGGUCGAAGACAAAGAGAAGGGGUAAGGAGAGGAACAGAGCGAAGCAGAGGACAAAUGGGGUUGAUGAUCAGGUGAUGGAUGAAGGUACUGUUAAACAGGUCUGGU